GACGAACGCUGGCGGCGUGCUUAACACAUGCAAGUCGAACGGAAAGGCCCUGCUUUUGUGGGGUGCUCGAGUGGCGAACGGGUGAGUAACACGUGAGUAACCUGCCCUUGACUUUGGGAUAACUUCAGGAAACUGGGGCUAAUACCGGAUAGGAGCUCCUGCUGCAUGGUGGGGGUUGGAAAGUUUCGGCGGUUGGGGAUGGACUCGCGGCUUAUCAGCUUGUUGGUGGGGUAGUGGCUUACCAAGGCUUUGACGGGUAGCCGGCCUGAGAGGGUGACCGGCCACAGUGGGAAUGAGAUACGGCACAGACGCCUACGGGAGGCAGCAGUGGGGAAUAUUGCACAAUGGGCGGAAGACUGAUGCAGCAACGCCGCGUGCGGGAUGACGGCCUUCGGGUUGUAAACCGCUUUCGCCUGUGACGAAGCGUGAGUGACGGUAAUGGGUAAAGAAGCACCGGCUAACUACG
rnacentral:rRNA from 1 species